rnacentral:misc_RNA from 1 species
GAUCGAUAAUUGUUUCAAAUAUUUCAGACUAUUAUUGCCACCCAGCCAGACAUAGUGAUGGUGGAAUUAUGUAGAAGAAGAGCCAACAUAUUGGCUUUAGAUGAAAAGACAAUACUUGAGGAGUCUCGAAAUAUGAACUUGGAGAAAGUCAGAGAUGCUAUUAGACAGAAUGGACUGGUUCAGGGGGUUAUGUACCUUCUUCUGCUCAGUAUGUCAGCACACUUAACUAAGGAGUUAGGGAUGGCUCCUGGUGGAGAAUUUCGUAGAGCAUUUUCUGAAGCCAAAAAGGUUCCAGGUUGUUUAAUUCAUCUGGGUGAUCGACCUAUUCAGAUCACCCUGCAGAGGGUGCUGGCUUCCUUGUCACUGUGGCAGAAACUCCGAGUAGCCUGGUAUAUGCUGACAAGCAAAGAGCCAAUAAGUAAAGAAGAGGUUGAAAAAUGUAAGCAGAGAGACCUUCUCGAAGAGAUGCUGGCAGAGAUGACUGGAGAGUUUCCUGCACUAAGCACGGUGUUUGUGAAAGAGAGAGAUAUGUAUCUAGCAUAUUCUCUUCGCCUUGCAGCAACUCCACUUCAAGAUCCCAAAUCACCUAGUGGAAUGAAACCUUCGGUAGUUGUUGGAGUAGUAGGUAUUGGCCACGUACCAGGGAUCGUUGAAAACUGGGAGAAAAUAUCUGAUGCUGAUAUUACUCCUCUUCUAAUUGUUCCUGAACCAUCUCUUGCUGCUAAAGUCUUUCGCCACACCCUAAAGAUAUCAGUUCUAAGUCUGGCCUUGUGGGGUUGCUGGCGACUUCUUCCAUCUUCCUUCAAGUCAACGCUGACUUCACAGAGGCCAUUAGACUGGCUUAACCAUAUUUUUACUCAUUAAGUAUGCAGAAGUAACUGAAGAAUGAGCAAACUGUUGGAAAAUAUUACAUUGUUAAACUUUUCAGAUAGAUAUAGUAACCAAAUUUGUGUACACUGGCCUAAGAUAUCCUACCAAACACUAAAAUCCAUGUAAAACAUUCAUUAAAGUUCGUAUUGAAAACAAACGUUUUGGUUCUUAAAGACAUGGUGUCAUUAUAUAUGUAAAAACGUUGUGAUUACAUUUAGGAAAGUUAUCCAAAAAUAAUGCUUACAGAUUGGUUCCUGUAAAGGUUAAUGAAGUAAUUAGUAUAAAGGUUACAGGCUGUGAGAGAAAGGUGAGGAUUAAUAACAGAAAUUAUAAGGGUUAAAGUUAUAGGCCAUGAUAGAAAGGUGAGGAUUAAUAACAGAAACUAUAAGGGUUAAGGUUAUAGGCCAUGAUAGAAAGGUGAGGAUUAAUAACAGAAACUAUAAGGGUUAAGGUUAUAGGCCAUGAUAGAAACGUGAGGAUUAAUAACAGAAACUAUGAGGGUUAAGGUUAUAGGCUGUGAGAGAAAGGUGAGGAUUAAUAACAGAAACUAUAAGGGUUAAGGUUAUAGGCUGUGAGAGAAAGGUGAGGAUUAAUAACAGAAACUAUAAGGGUUAAAGUUAUAGGCCAUGAUAGAAACGUGAGGAUUAAUAACAGAAACUAUGAGGGUUAAGGUUAUAGGCUGUGAGAGAAAGGUGAGGAUUAAUGACAGAAACUAUAAGGGUUAAGGUUAUAGGCUGUGAGAGAAAGGUGAGGAUUAAUGACAGAAACUAUAAGGGUUAAGGUUAUAGGCUGUGAGAGACAGAUAAGAACUAGGUUGUACUGAAUAUGUCUGGUUAUUUAUUUUGAUACCGAGUAUAUUAAUGUAUUACAGAAGAACAGGAUUUAUAAGAUGUACACUACAAGCAAUGGUGAUAGUAGAUGUUGGUAAUAGAUCAAAGUAUUAGUUUUAUAAAUUGUAAAGAAACGUGUGCCAUAAAGACAACCUCUGGCAUGGUACUGUAGUUAAUAAUCGUGUAGUCACAGUGAUUAUAUAACAAAAUCUUCCAUGAGGCCGUAAACAAAGUCCAUUCUUGUGAGAAAUUAUUGAUUAGACAUAUAUUUUGAACACUUAUCUUUCCUGUUAUUUUAGAUUGACAUGAAUAUAUAUUUUGACGUACCGAGUUAAUAACAAAAUUUUUGAACCAAAAGUGUAAA